GCGUGAUAGGGUACUUUUUGUAGAACGGUCCGGCGAGCGAUUGUAUGCAGCAAGGUUAAGGACUUAAGGUCUGGAGCCGAAGCGAAAGCGAGUUUGAAAAGGGCGUUAAGUUGCAUAUAAUGGGCCCGAAACCGGGUGACCUACCCAUGGUCAGGUUGAAGUGGAAGUAAAAUUCCAUGGAGGACCGAACCGACCUCCGUUGAAAAGGCGGCGGAUGAACUGUGGGUAGCGGAGAAAUUCCAAUCGAACCCGGAGAUAGCUGGUUCUCCCCGAAAUAGUUUUAGGACUAGCCUCAAGUUAGAUACCUGGAGGUAAAGCACUGAAUAGCCUAGCGGCCGAGAGGUUAGCGAAGCUUAUCAAACUCAGAAUGCCAGAGUAUUGAUGCUUGGGAGUCAGACAGUGUCAGAUAAAUGUCAUUGUCAAAAGGGAAACAGCCCAGAUCUACAGCUAAGGUCCCAAAGUCAGGUUAAGUGGAAAACGAUGUGAAGAUACGUAGACAACCAGGAUGUUGGCUCAGAAGCAGCCACUCAUUCAAAGAGUGCGUAAUAGCUCACUGGUCGAGCGUCUUUGCGCGGAGAAUUUAACGGGGCUAAACCUGACACCGAAGCUUAGGCAGCAUGAUUACAUGCUGGGUAGGGGAGCGUUGUAUACGCGGUGAAACAGUAGCGCAAGCGGCUGUGGAGUGUAUAGAAGUGAGAAUGCCGGAAUGAGUAGCGCGAAUGCAGUGAGAAUCUGCAUGGCCGAAAGCCUCAGGUUUCUGGAGGAAGGUUCGUCCGCUCCAGGUUAGUCGGGAGCUAAGGUGAGGCCUAACGGCGUAGCCGAUGCACAGACGGUAGAGAUUCCGUCACCACCAAAAGAGUUAAACACAGGGACACAUAUGAAGUCUCGGAGCCGGGUGUUGGUUCCGGUAGCGAUCGAGGGAAGUUAGUACCGAAGUCUGAGAUGGAAGAUGGCGAGAAAAGCUGUGUGUAUUUCUGCGGUGCCCGUACCGCAAACCGACACAGGUAGGUAGGAAGAAGAUUCUAAGGCCAACGGGAGAAGGGUUGUUAAGGAACUCGGCAAAUUGACCCCGUAACUUCGGGAGAAGGGGUGCUGCAGCAAUGCAGCCGCAGAGAAUCGGCCCAAGCAACUGUUUACCAAAAACACAGGUUUGUGCUAAAUCGAAAGAUGACGUAUACGAGCUGACGCCUGCCCGGUGCUGGAAGGUUAAGAGGAGAUGUGCAAGCAUUGAAUCGAAGCCCCAGUGAACGGCGGCCGUAACUAUAACGGUCCUAAGGUAGCGAAAUUCCUUGUCAGGUAAGUUCUGACCCGCAUGAAAGGCGUAAUGAUUUGGGCACUGUCUCAACAGCCCGCCCGGCGAAAUUGUAGUACCGGUGAAGAUGCCGGUUACCCGCGACAAGACGGAAAGACCCCAUGGAGCUUUACUGUAGCCUAAUAUUGGGUUUCGAUGUUGCAUGCACAGGAUAGAUGGGACACUGGGAAGCAGGUGCUUUGGCGCUUGUGGAGUGGCCGUUGGGAUACCAUCCUUGCGAUAUUGGAAUUCUAACCUGCGCCUUUGAAUCAAGGCGGGGGACAUUGUUAGGUGGGCAGUUUGACUGGGGCGGUCGCCUCCUAAAGAGUAACGGAGGCGUUCAAAGGUUCGCUCAGCUUGAACGGAAAUCAAGCAAAAGAGUGCAAACGCAGAAGCGAGCCUAACUGCGAGACUGACGGGUCGAGCAGUAACGAAAGUUGGAGUUAGUGAUCCGGUGGUAUGUGAGUGGAAAUGCCAUCGCUCAACGGAUAAAAGUUACCCUGGGGAUAACAGGCUGAUCUCCCCCAAGAGUCCACAUCGACGGGGAGGUUUGGCACCUCGAUGUCGGCUCAUCGCAUCCUGGGGCUGUAUUCGGUCCCAAGGGUUUGGCUGUUCGCCAAUUAAAGCGGUACGCGAGCUGGGUUCAGAACGUCGUGAGACAGUUCGGUCCCUAUCUGUCGUGGGCGCAGGAUAUUUGAUGGGAGCUGUUCCUAGUACGAGAGGACCGGAGCGGACGUACCUCUGGCGCACCAGUUGUUCUGCCAAGAGCAUAGCUGGGCAACUAUGUACGGAUCGGAUAAACGCUGAAAGCAUCUAAGCGUGAAGCCGACCCAAAGAUAAGAUAUCCCAUUGUUUCAAACAAGUAAGACCCCUUGAAGACUACAAGGUUGAUAGGCACGAUGUGUAAGUGGAG
rnacentral:rRNA from 1 species